rnacentral:rRNA from 1 species
UACGUAGGAGGCAAGCGUUGUCCGGAAUUACUGGGCGUAAAGCGCGUGUAGGUGGUGGGACAAGUCUGCUGUGAAAGCGCCUGGCUUAACCGGGCGAGGUCGGCGGAAACUGUUCGACUCGAGGACGGUAGAGGGGGGUGGAAUUCCCGGUGUAGUGGCGAAAUGCGUAGAGAUCGGGAGGAACACCUGUGGCGAAGGCGGCCCCCUGGGCCGGCCCUGACACUGAGACGCGAAGGCGUGGGGAGCGAACGGG